GAUGAGCGCUAGCGGCAGGCCUAAUACAUGCAAGUCGAACGGUGUCUUCGGACAUAGUGGCGCACGGGUGCGUAACACGUAUGCAACCUACCUUACAUUGGGGGAUAGCCUUUCGAAAGGGAGAUUAAUACCGCAUAAGACAGUAGCUGGGCAUCCAGCAGCUGUUAAAGAUUUAUCGAUGUAAGCUGGGCAUGCGUCCAAUUAGCUAGUUGGUGAGGUAACGGCUCACCAAGGCAAUGAUUGGUAGGGGAACUGAGAGGUCAAUCCCCCACACUGGCACUGAGAUACGGGCCAGACUCCUACGGGAGGCAGCAGUAGGGAAUAUUGGGCAAUGGACGCAAGUCUGACCCAGCCACGCCGCGUGCAGGAUGAAGGCGUUAUGCGUUGUAAACUGCUUUUAUACAGGAAGAAACGACUCUUGCGAGAGGCAUUGACGGUACUGUAUGAAUAAGCACCGGCUAACUCCGUGCCAGCAGCCGCAGUAAAAC
rnacentral:rRNA from 1 species